GUAGAAGUGGCUCAGCAGUUAAGAGCUCUGGCUGCUCUUCCAGAUGGUCCUGAGUUCAAUUCCCAGCUACCACA
rnacentral:tRNA from 1 species